GAUGAAGAACGCAGCGAAUUGCGAUAAGUAAUGUGAAUUGCAGAUUUUCAGUGAAUCAUCGAAUCUUUGAACGCACCUUGCGCUCCUUGGUAUUCCGAGGAGCAUGCCUGUUUGAGUGUCAUGAAAUUCUCAACCUUUUCAGCUUUCUUUGUUGAUCAGGCUUGGAUGUGGGAGUAUGCGGGCUUCUCAGAAGUCGGCUCUCCUGAAAUGCAUUAGCGGGACCUUUGUUGCCUGGCUUUGGUGUGAUAAUUAUCUACGCCAUUGUAGUCAAGCAGCUUAAAAUGAGGUUUCAGCUUCUAACCGUCUCCCCUGAGACAACUUUUUGACAAUUUGACCUCAAAUCAGGUAGGACUACCCGCUGAACUUAAGCAUAUCAAUAAGCGGAGGA
rnacentral:misc_RNA from 1 species